rnacentral:tRNA from 1 species
GCUCCCAUCGUCUAGGGGUCUAGGACACCGCCCUCUCACGGCGGAGACAGGGGUUCGAAUCCCCUUGGGAGUACCA